rnacentral:rRNA from 1 species
GCGACGACGGGUAGCCGGCCUGAGAGGGCGACCGGCCACACUGGGACUGAGACACGGCCCAGACUCCUACGGGAGGCAGCAGUGGGGAAUAUUGCACAAUGGGCGAAAGCCUGAUGCAGCGACGCCGCGUGAGGGAUGACGGCCUUCGGGUUGUAAACCUCUUUCAGCAGGGAAGAAGCGAAAGUGACGGUACCUGCAGAAGAAGCGCCGGCUAACUACGUGCCAGCAGCCGCGGUAAUACGUAGGGCGCAAGCGUUGUCCGGAAUUAUUGGGCGUAAAGAGCUCGUAGGCGGCUUGUCGCGUCGGUUGUGAAAGCCCGGGGCUUAACCCCGGGUCUGCAGUCGAUACGGGCAGGCUAGAGUUCGGUAGGGGAGAUCGGAAUUCCUGGUGUAGCGGUGAAAUGCGCAGAUAUCAGGAGGAACACCGGUGGCGAAGGCGGAUCUCUGGGCCGAUACUGACGCUGAGGAGCGAAAGCGUGGGGAGCGAACAGGAUUAGAUACCCUGGUAGUCCACGCCGUAAACGGUGGGCACUAGGUGUGGGCAACAUUCCACGUUGUCCGUGCCGCAGCUAACGCAUUAAGUGCCCCGCCUG